rnacentral:pre_miRNA from 1 species
GUAGUACUCCCUCCAUUCGGAAUUACUUGUCACAAAAAUGGAUGUAUCUACAACUAAAAUACAUCUAGAUACAUUCAUUUCUUGGACGAGUAAUUCCGAACGGAGGGAGUAUGUA